rnacentral:rRNA from 1 species
GAUGAACGCUGGCGGCGUGCCUAAUACAUGCAAGUCGAGCGAAUGGAUUGAGAGCUUGCUCUUAUGAAGUUAGCGGCGGACGGGUGAGUAACACGUGGGUAACCUGCCCAUAAGACUGGGAUAACUCCGGGAAACCGGGGCUAAUACCGGAUAACACUUUGAACCGCAUGGUUCGAAAUUGAAAGGCGGCUUCGGCUGUCACUUAUGGAUGGACCCGCGUCGCAUUAGCUAGUUUGUGAGGUAACGGCUCACCAAGGCAACGAUGCGUAGCCGAACUGAGAGGGUGAUCGGCCACACUGGGACUGAGACACGGCCCAGACUCCUACGGGAGGCAGCAGUAGGGAAUCUUCCGCAAUGGACGAAAGUCUGACGGAGCAACGCCGCGUGAGUGAUGAAGGCUUUCGGGUCGUAAAACUCUGUUGUUAGGGAAGAACAAGUGCUGGUUGAAUAAGCUGGCACCUUGACGGUACCUAACCAGAAAGCCACGGCUAACUACGUGCCAGCCGCCGCAGUAA